rnacentral:rRNA from 1 species
CAGUUCGGAUUGCAGCCUGCAACUCGGCUGCAUGAAGCUGGAAUCGCUAGUAAUCGCAGAUCAGAAUGCUGCGGUGAAUACGUUCCCGGGUCUUGUACACACCGCCCGUCACACCAUGGGAGUUGGAAAUGCCCGAAGUCAGUGACCGAACCGAAAGGAAGGAGCUGCCGAAGGUGGAGCCGAUGACUGGGGUGAAGUCGUAACAAGGUAUC